rnacentral:tRNA from 1 species
GGGGUAAUAGUUAAAAAAUAACUUUUAAUUUGCAAUUAAAGAUUAUUCUCAAUAAGAAUUUUCCUCA